rnacentral:lncRNA from 1 species
AAGAAAUUGAUAUUCAACUUACUUGAUCUUCAAAGAUUGAAUCAAGUAAUUGAUUUUGUUGUAAAAUGCAACAAUCAACUUUUUGAAUUUUGAUCUCAGAGUCACACAAAUAGGCCUCAAUGUUACUAAAAUUUGAUGGCAAUACCAACAUCUCCUCAAUACAUAUAUUUAGAAAUAAAAGAUAUGCAAAUUGAUGCAAUACGUUUUAAACCUCUUAUUGAGUAAGAAAAGACUCAUUGCCGUUAAGAAGGAUUGUGCUUAUAUUAUGGAGAACCUAAAU